ACGAACGCUGGCGGCGUGCUUAACACAUGCAAGUCGAACGGAAAGGCCCUGCUUUUGUGGGGUGCUCGAGUGGCGAACGGGUGAGUAACACGUGAGUAACCUGCCCUUGACUUUGGGAUAACUUCAGGAAACUGGGGCUAAUACCGGAUAGGAGCUCCUGCUGCAUGGUGGGGGUUGGAAAGUUUCGGCGGUUGGGGAUGGACUCGCGGCUUAUCAGCUUGUUGGUGGGGUAGUGGCUUACCAAGGCUUUGACGGGUAGCCGGCCUGAGAGGGUGACCGGCCACAUUGGGACUGAGAUACGGCCCAGACUCCUACGGGAGGCAGCAGUGGGGAAUAUUGCACAAUGAGCGGAAGCCUGAUGCAGCAACGCCGCGUGCGGGAUGACGGCCUUCGGGUUGUAAACCGCUUUCGCCUGUGACGAAGCGUGAGUGACGGUAAUGGGUAAAGAAGCACCGGCUAACUACGUG
rnacentral:rRNA from 1 species